GAUGAACGAUGGCGGCGUGCCUAAUACAUGCAAGUCGAGCGAACGGACGAGAAGCUUGCUUCUCUGAUGUUAGCGGCGGACGGGUGAGUAACACGUGGAUAACCUACCUAUAAGACUGGGAUAACUUCGGGAAACCGGAGCUAAUACCGGAUGAUAUUUUGAACCGCAUGGUUCAAAAGUGAAAGACGGUCUUGCUGUCACUUAUAGAUGGAUCCGCGCUGCAUUAGCUAGUUGGUAAGGUAACGGCUUACCAAGGCAACGAUGCAUAGCCGACCUGAGAGGGUGAUCGGCCACACUGGAACUGAGACACGGUCCAGACUCCUACGGGAGGCAGCAGUAGGGAAUCUUCCGCAAUGGGCGAAAGCCUGACGGAGCAACGCCGCGUGAGUGAUGAAGGUCUUCGGAUCGUAAAACUCUGUUAUUAGGGAAGAACAUAUGUGUAAGUAACUGUGCACAUCUUGACGGUACCUGAUCAGAAAGCCACGGCUAACUACGUG
rnacentral:rRNA from 1 species